rfam:Branchiostoma floridae genomic scaffold BRAFLscaffold_253, whole genome shotgun sequence.
CCAUGUUUGUGUGUGGAUAGUGUUCAGUACCAAGGACAGGUCAUGUUUGUGUGUGGAUAGUGUUCAGUACCAAGGACAGAUCAUGUUUGUGU